rnacentral:rRNA from 1 species
UACGUAGGGCGCAAGCGUUGUCCGGAAUUAUUGGGCGUAAAGAGCUCGUAGGCGGCCUGUUGCGUCCGCUGUGAAAUCCCGGGGCUCAACCCCGGGCCUGCAGUGGAUACGGGCUGGCUAGAGGCAGGCAGGGGAGAACGGAAUUCCUGGUGUAGCGGUGAAAUGCGCAGAUAUCAGGAGGAACACCGGUGGCGAGGGCGGUUCUCUGGGCCUGUACUGACGCUGAGGAGCGAAAGCGUGGGGAGCGAACAGG